rnacentral:tRNA from 5 species
UAAUAAAACUGAUUUACAAGAAGUAUUAUUUCCUUUAUUUAUUUAUAAUAAUAUAUUUUUCU